rnacentral:misc_RNA from 1 species
GAAAUGCGAUAAGUAAUGUGAAUUGCAGAAUUCAGCGAAUCAUCGAAUCUUUGAACGUACCUUGCGCUCCUUGGUAUUCCUUGGAGCAUGCCUGUUUGAGUAUCAUGAAAUCUUCAAAGUAAAUCUUUUGUUAACUCAAUUGGUUUCUACUUUGGUAUUGGAGGUCUUUGCAGCUUCACACCUGCUCCUCUUUGUUCAUUAGCUGGAUCUCAGUGUUAUGCUUGGUUCCACUCGGCGUGAUAAGUUAUCUAUCGCUGAGGACACUGUAAAAGGUGGCCAAGGUAAAUGCAGAUGAACCGCUUCUAAUAGUCCAUUGACUUGGACAAUACUUUUAUGAUCUGAUCUCAAAUCAGGUAGGACUACCCGCUGAACUUAAGC